UGAGGGAUCUUGCACAAUGGGCGCAAGCCUGAUGCAGCGACGCCGCGUGAGCGAAGAAGGCCUUCGGGUCGUAAAGCUCUUUUCUGCGUGACGAGAACGGACGGUAGCGCAGGAAGAAGUCUCGGCUAACUACGUGCCGGCAGCCGCGGUAAAACGUAGGAGACAAACGUUAUCCGGAGUUACUGGGCGUAAAGGGCGUGCAGGCGGUCAUUUAAGUUCGGCGUGAAAGCUUCUGGCUAAACCGGGAGAGGUCGUCGGAGACUGGAUGGCUAGAGGGUGAUAGAGGCGGGUGGAAUUCCGGGUGUAGUGGUGAAAUGCGUAGAGAUCCGGAGGAACACCAGUGGCGAAGGCGACCCGCUAGGUCACACCUGACGCUGAGACGCGACAGCAUGGGGAGCAAACGGG
rnacentral:rRNA from 1 species